AGUGAACGCUGGCGGUAGGCCUAACACAUGCAAGUCGAACGGCAGCACAGUAAGAGCUUGCUCUUACGGGUGGCGAGUGGCGGACGGGUGAGGAAUACAUCGGAAUCUACUUUUUCGUGGGGGAUAACGUAGGGAAACUUACGCUAAUACCGCAUACGACCUACGGGUGAAAGCAGGGGAUCUUCGGACCUUGCGCGCUUGUAUGAGCCGAUGUCGGAUUAGCUAGUUGGCGGGGUAAACGCCCACCAAGGCGACGAUCCGUAGCUGGUCUGAGAGGAUGAUCAGCCACACUGGAACUGAGACACGGUCCAGACUCCUACGGGAGGCAGCAGUGGGGAAUAUUGGACAAUGGGCGCAAGCCUGAUCCAGCCAUACCGCGUGGGUGAAGAAGGCCUUCGGGUUGUAAAGCCCUUUUGUUGGGAAAGAAAAGCAGCAGGUUAAUACCCCGCUGUUCUGACGGUACCCAAAGAAUAAGCACCGGCUAACUUCGUG
rnacentral:rRNA from 1 species